rnacentral:lncRNA from 1 species
GCUUUGAGACUGGAAGAGAUCUGGGAAUAGUGUGGUUUAAGGUUGAAAGAGCCUGACUCAAACUUUGGCUCUGUUUCUCAUUAGUUGUGCAACCUACUGAAUGAAGGCAACUCCUUGGAGACUCUUCUUUUAUGAGGCAUGUGUGGAUCAGACUCUGGACUUCAGGCUUGUGCAGCAGACUACCGUGGACCAGCCUCAGUUGGCCCCCAUCAAUCCGCGGGAGAAAUCAGAAUUCCAGUUACAGACCUCUGCCUCUUGUACACUAGUGUGUUCCUUUGCAGCUAGACUCAAUCCUGCACCUGGCUCAACAUUGAGGCCCUGAAGCUUGGCUCUGCUUAACUCCAGAAGCUGUACGCAGGAGGUUCUCUUGAAGAAUAAGUCACUCUAUGACUUGGACCAGACAUACCCAGCCUUUCUACUUCCAGACUUGAUGCCCCACUCAACAGGAGGUACCUGGAGGAGACUACCAACAGACCUAUAAUCAAUAAAAGGCUGAGAUCUUAGGCUGACCCAAGUCCCUGACCAAGAUGAAACAAGCCCCAUAGGGGAAAUAAAACCUACCCUUACUGCACAUCUCAGGAAUCUGACCUUUAUCUCAUCGAGAGCAGACUGACAACAGCAUCCUGUUAUCUGAACCCUGAAAGCAUCCUUUUAUCUUAAAGACCAGAGGCCCUCAUCCUGCUUACAAUAAUCCCUUUGUUUGCAGCAAUUUUCUUCCCCUCAGUGCUCCCUGACCACUCUCCCACUUGACUUAAAUCAUCCCAUGAAAGCUAACCUCCCUUUUGGCAAUGCUACUCUUCCUUCUCUUGGUGAAAACUUGGCAGCUUGUACUUCAGUAUAAUUUGGUUCUUUGGUCUCAGUGUGGCUCUAGUGGUUUCACUGUCUUGUAAGCCUUACAUUUAAUGACAGAAAUUUUGAGACAAGCUGUGGAUUAAAUGAUAUGCUGUCUCUAAAUCCAUGAAUGAAAACCAGUAACCCAACAGCAAACAAACAAACAAACCCAACUGAAUACCCUAGGAACCUAAUAAAUAAACCACAAGGGAAGAGUCCCUCCAUAUUUCUUGAAUUAUACUUUCAAAGCAGAACGAGGCUACUGAGGAAUAUAUUAGAGUUUAUUACUUUGAAUGUGCAUGUUGCCAUAGACAUAUUCUUUUUGGAUAUAUCACAGGAACUUGAGCAGAGUAGCUAGUUAAGAGGAAAGAUAAUUAAUUUGCCAAAUAUUUCUUCUUAGACAGCAUGGAUGCAAUAAACUUCUGCCUAAUGAGACAUCACUUUCUUGUAGUGCUGAGUGACCAUUAUAAAAGUUAUCUUCUGCUUAACUAGGUAGAGUCAGUGGUUACUGAGGAAAAAUCCAUAUAUUCCACCAUUCAUUACACCUGCUGGAAAAAGAGCAUAUUACAAUAUUAAAGAAUUUGUUGUAAUGUUCUUUAAAAUAAUUUUGAUGUGAAUGAAGUAUGACUCAGUGAAUCUAGAGAGUAAUUUUAGUAUUAUUGUAUAUUAAUUGUAUUAAAAUGAGUUUAAUUGUGAUUUUCAUAAAUGCUCAUGAUAUGCCUUAUAAUAUUAAGCAGAAUAGAUCUGCAUCCAGGAGCUAAGGCUGUUUCACAGCCCUCUGCACACAGGUCCUACCAGGAGAGAGCUGUUCUCCCAGAAGUGCUCUCACUCCUGGGCUCAGAGGUGAAAUAGCCACUUUCUCUCCAAUAACUGUCUAAUAUAGGACCAGCCAGGAGCACAUAGCGCACAGGAAUAGUGGAACAGCUGGGACUGGAUUAUUCUGGUCACUAUCUGAACCCAGGAGGUAAGGCUUUUCCACAGCCCUCUGUACACAGGUUCUGCCAGGAAAUAAUAGUCUCCUAGGAGUGCUGAUGCAGGCUCACAGGCCAACAGGAAGGACAAGCUCCAGCCAGAGACAGCAAGACCAACUAAUACCAGAGAUAACCAGAUGGCAAAAGGCAAAUGCAAGAACCUUACUAAUAGAAACCAAAGUUACUUGGCAUCAUCAGAACCCAGUUCUUCCACCACAGCAAGUCCUGGGUACCCCAACACACUGGUAAAGCAAGAUUUAGAUUUAAAAUCACAUCUCAUGAUGCUGAUAAAGGAUUUCAAGAAAGACAUAAAUAACACCCUUAAAUAGAGGAGAAAACAGAUAAACAAGUAGAAGCCUUUAAAGAGGAAACACAAAAAUCCCUUAAAGAGUUAGAGAAAAACACAAACAAACAUGUGAAAGAAUUGAAUAAAACCAUCCAGGCUCUAAAAAUAUAAGUAGAAACAAUAAAGAAAUCACAAAGGGAUACAACUCUGGAG